rnacentral:rRNA from 1 species
AGUGAACGCUGGCGGUAGGCCUAACACAUGCAAGUGGAACGGCAGCACAGUAAGAGCUUGCUCUUACGGGUGGCGAGUGGCGGACGGGUGAGGAAUACAUCGGAAUCUACUUUUUCGUGGGGGAUAACGUAGGGAAACUUACGCUAAUACCGCAUACGACCUACGGGUGAAAGCAGGGGAUCUUCGGACCUUGCGCGAUUGAAUGAGCCGAUGUCGGAUUAGCUAGUUGGCGGGGUAAAGGCCCACCAAGGCGACGAUCCGUAGCUGGUCUGAGAGGAUGAUCAGCCACACUGGAACUGAGACACGGUCCAGACUCCUACGGGAGGCAGCAGUGGGGAAUAUUGGACAAUGGGCGCAAGCCUGAUCCAGCCAUACCGCGUGGGUGAAGAAGGCCUUCGGGUUGGAAAGCCCUUUUGUUGGGAAAGAAAAGCAGCAGGUUAAUACCCCGCUGUUCUGACGGUACCCAAAGAAUAAGCACCGGCUAACUUCGUG